CCUUGGUCGAGGCUGUCUGAAGCCCCUCCUCCUCUCCAGGUGCCCUUCUCUUCUGACCUGCUGAACCUUGGUGUCCAUGUCCUGGAGACGGGGGCAUGGACCCCUUUUCUGCGAUCAGCAUGCACCUCAGGUCAUAUUGCCUCCCAAAUGAACACAGCUGGGCUACCCCAGGUCAGGUGCACACCCGAGUGUAGCUGUGGUGAGUGCAGCUGUGGUGAGUGCAGCUGUGGUAAGUGCAGCUGUGGUGGGUGUGUUCACAUACACAAGAGGCUGUCGCCCAUGCUGGAGCCCCCGAACUGGAGGAGUUCAAAACACAGCCCUCCCAGCAGGGCCCUCGGCCUGGAGAACAGGGUAAGGUGCUGCCCCUACCUCUCUAAAGAGUCUCUGCUGUGUUCUAGACAAAUACAACGACUUCAUUGAGGCCAACUGCAUUGAGGACGCGCGGGAGUGGAUGAGGACGCUGCGGAAGCUGGUAAGGAGAGAGAGGUGCUGCCAGGCACGAGGUGGGGCAGCUGCCUGAGCACCUCUGUCCCAGGAGGCAGGGAGUCCGGUGUUGCCCACGACACCUGUGGCCUUGCCCUGCUCCACUCAGGGCAUCAGUUUCCCCAUCCACACAAGAGAACGGGGGUUAGAGGAUAGGUUCCAGACUCCCUGAGGCAUGGUAGUGGGAGAUCUUUGGGGCAUGGUGGUGACAGGGGACAGGGGCAGGCCCUUACAGCCUGUCCCCAUGCCCCUCCUCUCUCCUGCUCAGAUCCGGGAUCUCCCAGGACACUACUAUGAAACACUCAAAUUCCUUGUGGGCCAUCUCAAGACCAUCGCUGACCACUCUGAGAAAAACAAGGUGGGUAGGAGUCCCGCAUGGAGUCUGGGGGAGGCAAGCACGGACUUACUGUGUGGGGGCCCUCAGCACGCACUGAGCUCCUGCAGGUCCAAUAACUCAGGCCCCUCUAGGCACGCCCUCCUCCUAUGACUGCUCCGUCCCCAUCCCGCUCCUACAUGCUGGUCAGUGCUUUCCCCCAGAGAGCCAUCUCCUGAGUUUCUGAGGGCUUUCCAGAGGCAGGGAACCCCGGCUCCCCGUAUCCGAUGCAUUGCCAUCCUCCGACUUAGCUCAAGUCCCUCGUAUUGCAUUUUCCUCAUCAAACCCCUUAUGCCUUCUGGUUCUGCAGUGGGGAAAAUGAGGGGAGUGAUAGGAUUUUUUGUGUUUUUUGUUUGUUUUUUUGAGACGAA
rnacentral:lncRNA from 10 species